GCGAGGCCGAAAGGCGUAGUCGAUGGGAAACAGGUUAAUAUUCCUGUACUUGGUGUUACUGCGAAGGGGGGACGGAGAAGGCUAUGUUAGCCGGGCGACGGUUGUCCCGGUUUAAGCAUGUAGGCUGAUUGUCCAGGCAAAUCCGGAUAAUCAAGGCUGAGGUGUGAUGACGAGGCACUACGGUGCUGAAGUAACAAAUGCCCUGCUUCCAGGAAAAGCCUCUAAGCAUCAGGUAACAUCAAAUCGUACCCCAAACCG
rnacentral:rRNA from 1 species